CACUUGGAGUGGGAGAGGGACUUUUCUCAAAGGAAGCAGGGGUGAAGGCGUCCUGGACAGGCGAAAACUACAGGCGUCUACUACAUGGCCCUACCUCUGCCCCCUGGUGGUGGCUCUUGGUGGCGCUGCUGACCACAGGUGAUGUUAGAAACAAGCCAGCCGUGCACCUAGCAGGUCUUCUCCGGGGCUGCCUGUCUGACCUGCAGGAUAGAGUCCACACGAUUGCUUUCCCCCUCUUUUUCCAUUUCUGCUUCAUUAGGAAAAAACAAAACUCAACAAAUCACCCUUACCUGUCCUGGCCCUGUUGAUCUGACCGCCUUUCAUCACCUUGGUGCCCACACAGACCCCUGCUCCAGCCAUUCUGCCCAGCCCAGCUCCCAGACACUCCGCGCAUCCGCACUCCAGCAGAGCACACCUGCCCUUUGAAGCCAGCUCUGGUCCCAGGUGACAGUUUCUUCUCACAUGCUCUCCGGUGCCAAUUGUUUGACAUAUCCUGUGUCCCCUGGGCUAUUUGUUACACACCUUUCGAUGAACACAUCUGGUCUCUGUUGAGUGGGGCUGUUCUCUCUAAAGGCAGGGUGUUGUCAGCAUCCUCAGCCUUAUCGGGAAGAUGAGGUCUGCAGCAGGAACCUUUGCCCCCACCUCCCCAGACGAGAGAGGAUGAAUCCCCCGGAGCUGGGAGGGCUGCAGGAAACAGAGAUACACAUCUCCUUCCUGGCCAGAUGCUUGCUACAUCACAGACCCUGCCAGCAGGUCCUGGCACUGCUGCCAGAGAGAAUGUGGUGAGAGGCCAGGCAUGAUGGCUCAUGCCUAUAAUCCCA
rnacentral:lncRNA from 10 species